rnacentral:rRNA from 3 species
CCUACGGGAGGCAGCAGUGAGGAAUAUUGGUCAAUGGAGGCAACUCUGAACCAGCCAUGCCGCGUGCAGGAUGACGGUCCUAUGGAUUGUAAACUGCUUUUGUACAGGAAGAAAAAGAGUUACGUGUAGCUUAUUGACGGUACUGUAAGAAUAAGGAUCGGCUAACUCCGUGCCAGCAGCCGCGGUAAU